UGUGAUAUAUGACCAAUAUACCACGGCUAAGGGCUGUCCUAGAACUCCGCGUUGUGUCGUGACUAAGAACAGCCCUUAGCCGUGGUAUGUUGGCCAUAUACCACACCCCCCCAGGCCUUAUUGCUUAAAUAUAUGGAUGAGCAAUGUCAGAGCGGCGUAGGCUAAGAUGCAAUAGGUAGUAUGGAAUACAGUAUAUACACUGUAUGUUGCUUUAAUGUGACGUCCUACAUACGGAGGUACUCACACUUACUGAAUGUAAACAACCUCAUAUGGAAAUGACACAGGAGAUGAGAGGUCAUAUGAAAACAUCCCAAACAUGACGCACACACACUAUCAGACACAAACACACACGUAGAUCAGAGAGUGAGUCUUACAUGCACACCACUGCAUCCAGACGACAUCAUAUUUCCUGGAGGGAGGUGUUAGCUCCUGCAGGUUGUAACAGUAGUAUGUUUCUAUGCGGUCAGCGUCGUCUCCUAGGUACUCCUCAUGGGCAUGGAGCAGAAAGGCUUCGAUCAUGUCACACAUCUCCAUGGUCUCAAAGAUGGGCAGGAGGACACCUUUAGAUACCCGCCCAAUCCCACAACCACAGUCCAGGGCACACUUAGUGUCAGCUUUACCAGGACCCUGUUUGAAGAAUGGAAUGAUACACAAGCAUGUACACAUUGAUGUCUGGCCUCUGUAACCCAAAAGCCCAGACAGCAGAAACAAGCACCAUACCUCAGGGAAUGAGGGGGGCCCCUGUCCGUGAUUCGGUGAAAGAUGAGGCCCGGAGGAACUCUACGGUUGUUGGAGGAUGCUUCCUGGUUUGGUGAAUUACUGCCAUAUUGCUCACAUAGCUUGUUCUUCAGUUUAACCUGGUUGCAUUCUACAUCUCCCCACUGUGUUAGGUUUUAAUGGAGUUGUCAGGAUUAGAAUCCAGACUCUGCACAGUAGAGUUUUAGGAGACCAAGGAGUAUGACUGAAACAUAGUGUUCUCUUCCUCUGUCUAAGCUAAGGAUGUCCUUAUACAAGAGAGCAGUUGAGCAGUACAUGGAACGACGUACUAUGAAAUGUAAAUGUGUCUAGUACUAUGAAAUGUACAUGUGUCUAGUACUAUGAAAUGUACAUGUGUCUAGUACUAUGAAAUGUACAUGUGUCUAGUACUAUGAAAUGUACAUGGGUCUAGUACUAUGAAAUGUAGCCAGCUGUAUAAUGUUUCGGGUGACCCUAAUCUAGGACUGUGUGUGUGUUGCAACUAAAUGGAGACUAUGCUGUGCAACUAAAACUAUAUCUGUCAUACACAGGGCCUUUGCCAUUGUCCAUUAAUUAUAAUCCACAUAAUAGUUCACAUGUUCUAUUGCUUCAGGAUUCUUUUCCUGUUGUAGCAAUCUGGCUCAAAUUAAGAUCCCAUAUCUGUAUAUUAUGUCUGCUCUAACAUACAGUGGUGGACAAAUGACCUAAUUGUCAUACCUGAGUAAAAGUAAAGAUACUGUAGCCCUUUCCUGCAGUCAAAUGACCUUGUUGCCUCAUAGGAAGAAAGUUCUUAAUAUGUUUCAUGAUUUCAUAAUUAAUAAACAUGAUUUUAA